AGGACGGCGAGCGUGGUGGGGCCCAGGGUGAAAAAUGGGUGGAAGUGGAGUCGUGGAAGGAGAAGGAGAAAACGACAUGCCGUGGUGUCGAACUUCGGAGGAGGAGGCCGCAGGGGUGCCAUUAAAGUCUGUUUGUGCGAGUGAACACUUGGAGGAGGCAGAGAAAGCAAAUGCCAGAACCAUUAUUACUAACAUGGAUGAUUCAGUACUCUGCUUCUUCAUUGUUGUCGCUUUUUGUUGUGUGGGUUUGAAGGAAAACGGAAGAAGGGGAAGUCUUUUUUUAGAUUACAGUGGUGGAGGGAAGUUAUAUAGAUAGACAAGAAGAGGACUGUAGGGAGAGCGGAAAUUAAGGGAACGGUGUGUCGGUGGG
rnacentral:lncRNA from 1 species